AGGAACUGGUUGGCGUUUGUUCGUUUUUGGGACCUCAAAGUUGGUGACACCAUCCAUUUAUACAGAGAGCAUGAUGAAUUCACUGGAGUUGAGUUCAAGAUUGUGGUUCAAGCGGCUGGUUGAGGUAUAUAUGUGCUAAUAAAUCAACCAGUGAAGCUGCUUCUUUACUCGAGUUUUGCUCUGUAAUAAAGAAUAAUGUUCAAGAAUGUUUGUUUCCUAUUGCUCUGUUUCUUGUGCUGUUUUGUGGUAAUCCAUAUAUUGCCACAGAAAUCUGUUUCUUGUGCUCUAUGUUAAUAUUUGCUCCAGUCCUGCUGUGUGAU
rnacentral:misc_RNA from 1 species